rnacentral:ncRNA from 1 species
UAUAGGCGCAGGGAGAAAUCCGCUGCGUACCCUGAGAAUCCGAAUGAAAGUUUAAGCGACUUUGUAAAGUCGCCGGUCUCGGGGGCCGCCUAUAAGGCGGUUUUUUUCUUA